rnacentral:misc_RNA from 1 species
UAGUUUCCCUCGCGUUCAGUGAGACCUUCGGUCUUCAUUCAAAGGUAGACUCGUUGUGCCAAGUGCGUGAUGGGAUGCUUAGAAUGGCUUUGACCGUAGCGUCAUGUUGGCGCAUGAGAUGUAUUCGACCUGUGACUAUCGGAAGGACCCCCGCCUUUGUGCGGCCGACUUUCGAUGCCUGUGUCCCUUCAAUUGUGUGGGCGACAUGCUCGUGCCCAUUGAUGAUGCUUGCAUGCUGGUACCCGUAAUUUGGGAAGUUGUGUUCGCCAUACGUUACAUUUGUUACGUCUAUCCUUUGGACUGACGUAUCGGUUAAAUAGUGCUUGUGGCGUUGCCUCUUUUGUUGCUAGCCACCUAGGCUUGCAUAGCUAAGGCCACCUCGCUUGCACGAUUGGUUAUGGAUGCUGCCCAUGCUAUAGGCUGAGGUUGUUUCGGCGCCUCAUACCUUCUGAAAUCGUACCAUCCAAAAACGACAGUCGACCCGGCUUCGCUUAUAUACGUUUG